ACGCUCGACACCUACGGAGGCAGCAGUGGGGAAUAUUGCACAAUGGGGGGAACCCUGAUGCAGCGACGCCGCGUGAGGGAAGAAGGUUUUCGGAUUGUAAACCUCUGUCCUUGGUGACGAUAAUGACGGUAGCCAAGGAGGAAGCCACGGCUAACUACGUGCCAGCAGCCGCGGUAAUCUGAGCGGGCUGGCAAGGC
rnacentral:rRNA from 1 species